UCCGUAGGUGAACCUGCGGAGGGAUCAUUACAAGAACGCCCGGGCUUCGGCCUGGUUAUUCAUAACCCUUUGUUGUCCGACUCUGUUGCCUCCGGGGCGACCCUGCCUUCGGGCGGGGGCUCCGGGUGGACACUUCAAACUCUUGCGUAACUUUGCAGUCUGAGUAAACUUAAUUAAUAAAUUAAAACUUUUAACAACGGAUCUCUUGGUUCUGGCAUCGAUGAAGAACGCAGCGAAAUGCGAUAAGUAAUGUGAAUUGCAGAAUUCAGUGAAUCAUCGAAUCUUUGAACGCACAUUGCGCCCCCUGGUAUUCCGGGGGGCAUGCCUGUUCGAGCGUCAUUUCACCACUCAAGCCUCGCUUGGUAUUGGGCAACGCGGUCCGCCGCGUGCCUCAAAUCGUCCGGCUGGGUCUUCUGUCCCCUAAGCGUUGUGGAAACUAUUCGCUAAAGGGUGUUCGGGAGGCUACGCCGUAAAACAACCCCAUUUCUAAGGUUGACCUCGGAUCAGGUAGGGAUACCCGCUGAACUUAAGCAUAUCAAUAAGCGGAGG
rnacentral:rRNA from 1 species